rnacentral:rRNA from 1 species
UGGGAAGUAUUGCACAAUGGCGGCAAGCCUGAUGCAGCCAUGCCGCGUGUAUGAAGAAGGCCUUCGGGUUGUAAAGUACUUUCAGCGGGGAGGAAGGCGAUAAGGUUAAUAACCUUGUCGAUUGACGUUACCCGCAGAAGAAGCACCGGCUAACUCCGUGCCAGCAGCCGCGGUAAUACGGAGGGUGCAAGCGUUAAUCGGAAUUACUGGGCGUAAAGCGCACGCAGGCGGUCUGUCAAGUCGGAUGUGAAAUCCCCGGGCUCAACCUGGGAACUGCAUUCGAAACUGGCAGGCUGGAGUCUUGUAGA